rnacentral:rRNA from 1 species
AAAGAUUAAGCCAUGCAUGUCUAAGCACAGACCUUUACACGGUGAAGCUGCGAAUGGCUCAUUAGGCCACCCAUGAUUUAUUAGAUUGUACAAUCCUACUUGAUAACUGUGGUAAUUCUAGAGCUAAUACAUGCAAGCAAGCUCCGACCCGGCCGGUCGUUGCUCUCGGGUGGCGGCCGGAUUUGGGAAAGAGCGCGUUUAUUAGAUCAAAACCAAUCGGGCCUUCACGGGUCCGUACGUUUGGUGACUUUGGAUAACUUCGAGCUGAUCGCAUGGCCUCGUGCCGGCGACGUAUCUUUCAAGUGUGUGCCCUAUCAACUGUCGAUGGUAAGUGAUAUGCUUACCAUGGUAG